rnacentral:lncRNA from 1 species
GUGUUGUGUGUCCGUUGCGUGUUUGGUGUCCAUUGCUCUGUCCGGUUUUCUCCGCGAGGCUCCAAGUGACUCCGCCAUUGCCUCCAUGGCCCUGGGACCUGCAGGUACUGGAAGGUCCAUUGGGAAGAUGUCGGGACACCACAGAAGACAAGAACCAAUUCUGUUAGCCUAUCGAAAAUGCAAGAUGCAGUUCUUUCAUGGGAACACUUAUUAGAACUUAAGAAUAAUCAUUGUGAACAACUUACAGUAAAUAUUAAACAAAUGGAAAAUAUGGUUGGUGUACUACAAAAGGAGCUAUGUGAAGCAAAAGAAACACAAUUACAGUUAGAGCAUGAAAAAGGUCAAUGGGAACAAGAACGCUACAGUUUGAGAUGGAGCUGUCUAGUUGAAGGAAAACAAGCUCAGGACUUUCACUGAUUCUACAUCAUAAUGACCUUAAAAGAAGAAGAAAAGGGAAGAAAUGCUGAUAUAUUGCCUAAAAAAGACAGUGAACAGUUAAAAAGAAAAGAAAAGGAAUGUGGGAAAGAAGUUGAAACAACAACUCAAACAGACUCUGAAAUCACUGGUCACAGAAUUGAGG